rnacentral:rRNA from 1 species
GACGAACGCUGGCGGCGUGCUUAACACAUGCAAGUCGAACGGAAAGGCCCUGCUUUUGUGGGGUGCUCGAGUGGCGAACGGGUGAGUAACACGUGAGUAACCUGCCCUUGACUUUGGGAUAACUUCAGGAAACUGGGGCUAAUACCGGAUAGGAGCUCCUGCUGCAUGGUGUGGGUUGGAAAGUUUCGGCGGUUGGGGAUGGACUCGCGGCUUAUCAGCUUGUUGGUGGGGUAGGGGCUUACCAAGGCUUUGACGGGUAGCCGGCCUGAGAGGGUGACCGGCCACAUGGGGACUGAGAGACGGCCCGGACUCAUACGGGAGGCAGAAGUGGGGAAUAUUGCACAAUGGGCGGAAGCCUGAUGCAGCAACGCCGCGUGCGGGAUGACGGCCUUCGGGUUGUAAACCGCUUUCGCCUGUGACGAAGCGUGAGUGACGGUAAUGGGUAAAGAAGCACCGGCUAACUACGUG